UGCAUCAUUUAUUUAUCGCUGUUGCAAAGAUAAAGACUGAAUAAUGACCCCGUAUUGACUGGUUGGUAUAUGAUAAUAUAUUUUUUAUAUUAUAUGUUUUUUUUUUUAUUUAUAUUAUAUAAAUUCUUGCAUAUAUUUAAUGACUAAUUAUCCGUACAUGGUGUACUUACUGGUCCGUCACAACUAGAUUGAAUAAUGUUUAAUUUUUUUUUUUUUUAUUUGAUAUGUCUCUCUAAGGGAAUGCCAAUAAUAAAGACUAAUAAUAGUCAACUGUGAAGCGGUCACUCUUUACGGUAGAAAGCGAAUAAAACAGAUCAGUGAACUCGGAAAUAUCUAUUUUUGGAAUACGUAGGUAGGUUAUAAUAUACGAAAAGUGCGUAAAAAAAGUAAGUUUUGUAAAAUGAUGCAGAAAAAUAAUCAUCGCGUUCGGGGUUUGAACCCGAGAUCGUUGGACCGGAAUGUAAAGCCCGAUCAAAUUUUUGGCAAACGGCAAACUUUGAAAAUUUGUUUGAAAAAUGGUUCAUCCGAUCAAUUAUUUGAUCGAAUUAUCUAUAAAUAAAACUCGAUUGUGAUUGGUCAAACAUAAUCGGAG